GCUCAGUUUUAUAAAAGUUAUAAAUCAGUUGGUCCAUGGACUUAGUAUAAACAGGUAGAUGAUCACAAAAGCACUGGUCCCACAUAGUGCCUGUAUUUAAUUACAGCAUUAGGGACUUGACUGAUUCCCAGGUAGAUGAGAGCCUGAUGCUUCCCCAUAGGUCCCAGCCAUACCCUCUCUUGCCUCCUUUCCCACCCCACUGGGUGCUCUGUACUAUACCAGAUGGUAGCUUCCAGAAAGUAACUAGCUUUUGCCUUCCACGCUGAAGAUGUUUCCUUUACUACUACAUUAAAAAUACAGCUUGCAUUUUAUAGCUUCAUUUCCUUCUAGGGAUUUCAAAUUUUUAAGUAAUUAAAAGCUAGGGAGUCAUAUACAAACCUCAGAGUGCUGUACAGCCACUAUUAGAUAUUAUAGUGACAUUGUUUAGCAGAAAAUAAAUUACCAAUAUGAUUAGAGUGGGAGAGACAUCAACACUGAGAAAACUAUCAAAAACACAAAAGAUGGCCACAUAGCUGGACAAGAUCUAUACUUUAAAUAUCUCAGAGUACAUUGUGCAUCUCUAUCCCAAUUCCAAAGGAGAAUUUUUUAUACCACAUUUCUCAAACGGACCAUGGGGAAGGGAAAUACUACCAUGGAUCAUGUCUGGGUUUGAGGAAGGAGAAACACACUGCCAUGGUGACACUGCAACUGGAAUGAGAGAUGUGUCCAGGAGGAAGUGUUUCAAGCAGCACCAAGAGCAAGUCUCACAAAACUGGAUGCAAAAAUGGUAUCUUCUCUCAGGCAUCUGUUGCUUCGCUGCCAAGGUCAGCUCUGCAAGCUAACUUCAUAUUUUUCACAUGGCUGUUCUGUGUUUCAGCAAUUUCUCUAGUGUAUUAAAAACAAACAGGCUCUUCUCCAACAUCAAAUGUGCAUGUCUUCUCUUUAUUUUUCUGCUUCCUUUUUAACCCUUACAACUGU
rnacentral:lncRNA from 1 species